rnacentral:rRNA from 1 species
ACAACCCAGACCGCCAGCUAAGGUCCCAAAGUCAUGGUUAAGUGGGAAACGAUGUGGGAAGGCACAGACAGCCAGGAUGUUGGCUUAGAAGCAGCCAUCAUUUAAAGAAAGCGUAAUAGCUCACUGGUCGAGUCGGCCUGCGCGGAAGAUGUAACGGGGCUAAACCAUGCACCGAAGCUGCGGCAGCGACACUAUGUGUUGUUGGGUAGGGGAGCGUUCUGUAAGCCUGCGAAGGUGUGCUGUGAGGCAUGCUGGAGGUAUCAGAAGUGCGAAUGCUGACAUAAGUAACGAUAAAGCGGGUGAAAAGCCCGCUCGCCGGAAGACCAAGGGUUCCUGUCCAACGUUAAUCGGGGCAGGGUGAGUCGACCCCUAAGGCGAGGCCGAAAGGCGUAGUCGAUGGGAAACAGGUUAAUAUUCCUGUACUUGGUGUUACUGCGAAGGGGGGACGGAGAAGGCUAUGUUAGCCGGGCGACGGUUGUCCCGGUUUAAGCAUGUAGGCUGGUUAUCCAGGCAAAUCCGGAUAAUCAAGGCUGAGGUGUGAUGACGAGGCACUACGGUGCUGAAGUAACAAAUGCCCUGCUUCCAGGAAAAGCCUCUAAGCAUCAGGUAACAUCAAAUCGUACCCCAAACCGACACAGGUGGUCAGGUAGAGAAUACCAAGGCGCUUGAGAGAACUCGGGUGAAGGAACUAGGCAAAAUGGUGCCGUAACUUCGGGAGAAGGCACGCUGGUGUGUAGGUGAAGUCCCUGCGGAUGGAGCUGAGACCAGUCGAAGAUACCAGCUGGCUGCAACUGUUUAUUAAAAACACAGCACUGUGCAAACACGAAAGUGGACGUAUACGGUGUGACGCCUGCCCGGUGCCGGAAGGUUAAUUGAUGGGGUUAUCCGUAAGGAGAAGCUCUUGAUC